UUCAUACAUGUGCAUAAAAUAUAUUGCAGAAAAAAUUAAAGCCAAAAUAUCCAUUGUCUAUGCUACAAAAGCUAAGACAUAUUCUACAGAGCCAUCCAUUUGUGACGUUUGUUCAGGAAGAUAUUCACUAUACAUUUUAGUUGCAAAAGGUCAAAACUACGAGCUUGCAAGACAAUGUAAGUAAAAACUUCAGGAGG